AUUCAACCAAUACAAACAAGAUGAUGCUCGACAAGGCGAAGCACCAGCCAAAAACGAUGGUGUGGUGGGACAUCAACAGCUGUCCGGUUCCCGAUGGUUAUGAUGCUUCUAUGGUUGCUCAGACUAUAUAAUCGGCCUUGAAGAAGGCAGGCUACACUGGUCCUCUCACCAUCACUGCUAUUGGCAACCUAAAACACACCUUAAAACGAACCCCUGGUGUUCUUCCGGCGAUCUCUUCCUCUGGAAUCCUUCUUAAACACGUUCCCGACGGUUUCAGAGACAUUUUUGAGGAAGUUAUUGUGUGGAAGAGGGAAAAUCCACCUCCGGCUACCAUAAUGUUCAUAACCGGAGAUGUUAAGGAAGUGAAACGCUUAUCUUAUGCUCUUUCCAAUGUAGAAAGGCAUGGGUACACCCUUCUUCAGGCAUUUCAUCAAUCAGCUUCCGACCUCGUAAACAACUCUGAAGAGUCUACCACCACGCCCCUGCUCUUAUCUAAAAAGUGUAUUUGGGAGAAAUUACUGAAAGGUAAGUGUCCUCUCUCUCUCUCUCUCACAGUGUUAUUAUAUAACCUGCAAAGCUGUUUUUUUUUUCUUUUCUUUUCUUUCCACCAGACGCAAUAGAUUCAGGGGAGACAAGAAGACAGGAGUUUGAGAAGAAGUUCUGUGAAUCUCCGUGCAGGUUUUCUUGCACACUAUGCAAUUUCGCCGGCCAAAGGUUUGAAGAUUUAAGUACGCAUCUCAAGGGUAAAGAUCAUAUAACGCGUGAGCUGGACCUGGUGUCACCGCCUCUACCCAAGAGGAAGCUGGUGAAGCGGAUGUUAUACUUGUGCUCACAUGUUAUCUUUGUUUUUUCAUCACUUACACUUGUGCUCACAUGUUAUCUUGUGCUCACAUGUUAUCUUUGUUUAUGCAUACUCCGCUUCUAUAUCGUCUAAAUUUUCCAUGCUACAACGUUUCGGACACACCACUCUUCUGGCUCAUCCUCAACAAGUGAACUUCCAUGUCCUUUCUAGAGAGUGGGUCUGGGAAAGCUUAUUGAAAGAUGGGAUGGAUUCGUUUAAGACAAGAAGACAGUUGUGUGAAACUGCCUGGCUUUGCUCAAUAUGCAGAAAUUCUUCCCUAACCAGGAAGGACAAUUUACCACCUACCAAGUAUGCUGAAUUUCGCACCCUGGAAGGAGACGGAACCUUCCAAGGCAAACGCUUUGAAGAUUUCACCAGGCAUCUCAAGAGUAAAGAUCAUGCACUCUGUGAACUGAACACGGUCUCUAGGUCUAUAACCAAUAAGUUGGCUAAUCUUACAGAAUGCUGUUAUCAGAAAUCAAAG